rnacentral:misc_RNA from 1 species
UACACCCUCACCCCUCCCAACUUGUUGGGUAUGUUUGCUUUUUUUGCAAGCCACAGGGGUGGAUCUGGCUUCCCCAAUCAGCCAUCAGGUAGAUUGGGUUGGCUGAAGUACAGAGGCUUAAGCAAGGACCCGAUAUGGGCUUCAACUGGAUAGGUAGCACCGGCUUUUGCCGACUACACGAAGUUGUUGCUUGUGGAUCUUGCUAGAAGCCAAGCAGGAAUGUGCCUUUGGCAUAUCUUAAC